rnacentral:rRNA from 1 species
GAUGAACGCUGGCGGCGUGCCUAAUACAUGCAAGUCGAGCGAACAGAUGAGGAGCUUUCUCCUUUGACGUUAGCGGCGGACGGGUGAGUAACACGUAGGUAACCUACCUAUAAGACUGGGAUAACUUCGGGAAACCUGAGCUAAUACCGGAUAAUAUUUCGAACUUCAUGGUUCUAUAGUGAAAGAUGGCUUUGCUAUCACUUAUAGAUGUAACUUCGCCGUAUUAGCUAGUUGGUAAGGUAACGGCUUACCAAGGCAACGAUACGUAGCCGACCUGAGAGGGUGAUCGGCCACACUGGAACUGAGACACGGUCCAGACUCCUACGGGAGGCAGCAGUAGGGAAUCUUCCGCAAUGGGCGAAAGCCUGACGGAGCAACGCCGCGUGAGUGAUGAAGGUCUUCGGAUCGUAAAACUCUGUUAUUAGGGAAGAACAAACGUAUAAGUAACUGUGCACGUCUUGACGUUACCUAAUCAGAAAGCCACGGCUAACUACGUG